rnacentral:rRNA from 1 species
GGUCUGAUUGCGGCUCCGGGAUUGAACGCUGGCGGGAUGCUUUUACACAUGCAAGUCGAACGGCAGCACGGACUUCGGUCUGGUGGCGAGUGGCGAACGGGUGAGUAAUGUAUCGUGAACGUGCCUAGUAGCGGGGAUAACUUACGCGAAAGCGUAGCUACUUACCGCAUACACCUCUUCUGGGAAAGCGGGGACCUUUCGGGCCCUCGCACUAUUAGAGCGGCCGAUAUCGGAUUAGCUAGUUGGUGGGGUAACGGCUCACCAAGGCGACGAUCCGUAGCUGGUUUGAGAGGACGACCAGCCACACUGGGACUGAGACACGGCCCAGACUCCCAUGGAGGCAGCAGUGGGGAAUUUUGGACAAUGGGGGAAACCCUGAUCCAGCCAUCCUGCGUGUGCGAUGAAGGCCUUCGGGUUGUAAAGCACUUUUUGGCAGGGAGUAAGAAAUGGCACGGAUAAUACUCCCGUGCAACUGACGGUACCUGCAGAAUAAGCACCGGCUAACUACGUGCCAGCAGCCGCGGUAAUACGUAGGGUGCAAGCGUUACCCGGAAUUACUACAAAGCGUGCGCAGGCGGUUCGAAAGAAAGAUGAAAUCCCAGAGCUUAACUUUGGAACUGCAUUUUUAACUACCGAGCUAGAGGCCGAGGGAGGUGGACUCCGCGUGUAGCAGUGAAAUGCGUAGAUAUGCGGAGGAACACCGAUGGCGAAGGCAGCCUCCUGGGAUAAUACCGACGCUCAUGCACGAAAGCGUGGGGCGAAACAGGGAUUAGAUACCCUGGUAGUCCACGCCCUAAACGAUGUCAACUAGCCGUUGGGGCCUCUCGCCUUGGUAGCGCAGCUAACGGGUGGUAGUUGACCGUCAGAGGGCGGUCGCAAGAUUAAAACUCAAAGGAAUUGACGGGGACGUGCACGCGGUGGAUGAUGUGGAUUAAUUCGAUGCAACGCGAAAACCUUACCUACCCUUGACAUGUCUGGAAUCCCGAAGAGAUUUGGGAGUGCUCGCAAGAGAACCGGAACACAGGUGCUGCAUGGCUGUCGUCAGCUCGUGUCGUGAGAUGUUGGGUUAAGUCCUGGCAACGGAGCGUAACCCUUGUCAUUAGUUGCUACGAAAGGGCACUCCACGAGACUGCCGGUGACAAACUGGAGGAAGGUGGGGAUGACGUCAAGUCCUCAUGGCCCUUACAAGAAAAAAGGCGCAGGGCUUCACACGUCAUACAAUGGUCGGGACAGAGGGUCGCCAACCCGCGAGGGGGAGCCAAUCCCAGAAACCCGGACGUAGUCCGGAUCGCAGUCUGCAACUCGACUGCGUGAAGUCGGAAUCGCUAGUAAUCGCGGAUCAGCAUGUCGCGGUGAAUACGUUCCCGGGUCCUGUACACGCCGCCCGUCACACCAUGGGAGUGGGUUUUACCAGAAGUAGUUAGCCUAACCGUAAGGAGGGCGAUUACCACGGUAGGAUUCGUCGACUGGGGGUGAAGUCGUAACAAGGUAAC